CUGUCCGAGGGGCGCUGCAGCAGGAAUGAAAAUCGGUGAUGGAUCUUGCGGGCCGCGCGGCUGAACUGCCGCGGCAUAGCGAGUCCAGAUCAGGCUUCACCUGUCAGGCUCGGAUGGGGCGUUAACCAUACGCAUCAACGGCGCCCAUUCGCA
rnacentral:ncRNA from 2 species